rnacentral:rRNA from 1 species
GUGGGGAAUUUUGGACAAUGGGCGCAAGCCUGAUCCAGCCAUGCCGCGUGUCUGAAGAAGGCCUUCGGGUUGUAAAGGACUUUUGUCAGGGAAGAAAAGCCCCGGGCUAAUACCCCGGGGUGAUGACGGUACCUGAAGAAUAAGCACCGGCUAACUACGUGCCAGCAGCCGCGGUAAUACGUAGGGUGCGAGCGUUAAUCGGAAUUACUGGGCGUAAAGCGAGCGCAGACGGUUACUUAAGCAGGAUGUGAAAUCCCCGGGCUUAACCUGGGAACUGCGUUCUGAACUGGGUGACUAGAGUAUGUCAGAGGGGGGUAGAAUUCCACGUGUAGCAGUGAAAUGCGUAGAGAUGUGGAGGAAUACCGAUGGCGAAGGCAGCCCCCUGGGAUAAUACUGACGUUCAUGCUCGAAAGCGUGGGUAGCAAACAGGAUUAGAAACCCUAGUAGUCC